CUCCUACGGGAGGCAGCAGUGGGGAAUAUUGCACAAUGGGCGCAAGCUGAUGCAGCGACGCCGCGUGCGGGAUGACGGCCUUCGGGUUGUAAACCGCUUUUGAUCGGGAGCAAGCCUUCGGGUGAGUGUACCUUUCGAAUAAGCACCGGCUAACUACGUGCCAGCAGCCGCGGUAAUACGUAGGGUGCAAGCGUUAUCCGGAAUUAUUGGGCGUAAAGGGCUCGUAGGCGGUUCGUCGCGUCCGGUGUGAAAGUCCAUCGCUUAACGGUGGAUCUGCGCCGGGUACGGGCGGGCUGGAGUGCGGUAGGGGAGACUGGAAUUCCCGGUGUAACGGUGGAAUGUGUAGAUAUCGGGAAGAACACCAAUGGCGAAGGCAGGUCUCUGGGCCGUUACUGACGCUGAGGAGCGAAAGCGUGGGGAGCGAACAGGAUUAGAUACCCUGGUAGUCCACGCCGUAAACGGUGGAUGCUGGAUGUGGGGCCCGUUCCACGGGUUCCGUGUCGGAGCUAACGCGUUAAGCAUCCCGCCUGGGGAGUAUGGCCGCAAGGCUAAAACUCAAAGAAAUUGACGGGGGCCCGCACAAGCGGCGGAGCAUGCGGAUUAAUUCGAUGCAACGCGAAGAACCUUACCUGGGCUUGACAUGUUCCCGACAGCCGUAGAGAUGCGGCCUCCCUUCGGGGCGGGUUCACAGGUGGUGCAUGGUCGUCGUCAGCUCGUGUCGUGAGAUGUUGGGUUAAGUCCCGCAACGAGCGCAACCCUCGCCCUGUGUUGCCAGCACGUCAUGGUGGGAACUCACGGGGGACCGCCGGGGUCAACUCGGAGGAAGGUGGGGAUGACGUCAGAUCAUCAUGCCCCUUACGUCCAGGGCUUCACGCAUGCUACAAUGGCCGGUACAACGGGAUGCGACAUGGCGACAUGGAGCGGAUCCCUGAAAACCGGUCUCAGUUCGGAUUGGAGUCUGCAACCCGACUCCAUGAAGGCGGAGUCGCUAGUAAUCGCGGAUCAGCAACGCCGCGGUGAAUGCGUUCCCGGGCCUUGUACACACCGC
rnacentral:rRNA from 1 species